AAAAAAAGUGAGUAAGCCAAAACAGUUUUGGAACGAGGAGGGAAAAGUAGAGUCCAGUAGCUGUAAUGGCAGACAUUUUACAGUCCAUAAACAAACCAAAGUUAAUAUAUCUAUCUGCACACUGCAAUGAAACUAGGAUAGAUCCUAUCCUUAUAUCAUUUUUACAUUUCUCAUUUCUCUUUAGAAGUAUGCAAUUUACCAUAAAGAAAGAAAAAAAAAAUGUAAUCAGUGCAGGUUUCUAUGGUUACUGACUGUUUUCCUUGGAAUUAGAAUCUGCUGUCUCCCUCUCUACCACAGAUAAACUUUCUUCCAUUCUGUCUCUCUAUAUACUUUUGGGUGCAGGCAUGACUGGGUGGUUAAAAAGUUUACUUCACAGAUAGACAGGUGUGGUUUUGGAUUUCAUUGCACUGCACAGAAUUUGGUUGCCAACAUGACUUGGAUGGGUAAGCAUCAUGCUUUCAUUGUGGAAAUGUUUGUCAAGAACAAUGAAUCCAUAACUGCAACAUGAAGAGCGUUCUGUGUACACUUCAGGUUUGGUAGACAUAAUCCCAUACCUACUUGAAACAUGAUUUUGUUAUGGGUUACCAACUUCAGAGCAAGUGAAUCAGCAUUGAAACAAAAAUCAAUUGGCCGACCUCAGAAUGCCAGAAGUCUGGAAAAUGUGGCAGCGGUAAGAGCUUCAGUUCAACAUUCUCCACAACAUUCUGCACGGAAACACACCGCUACUCUUAGGUUUUUUGAUAGAAGUUUGCAAAGAAAUCUUCACAACAAACUGCAAAUGCAUCCAUACAAAAUGGUUUUGCCACAAGAACUCAGCGAAAGAGACUUUGAAACUCACAGAUCAUUGUGUUUGGAAAUUCAACAAUAUGUCUCCCAUGAAGCUUUUGUGUUGUUUAGUAAUGAAGCCCAUUUUCACCUGUGUGGCAGCGUGAAUAUGCAAAAUUUCUGAUAUUGGGCCGAGAACAACCCUUGUGAGUUGCACAAACAUCCCUUGCAUUGUUCUCGGGUGACCAUAUGGUGUGCAGUGGCAGAAUUUAGCAUUUGGGGACUGUACUUCUUCAAAGAGGACAAUGUUACAGUGACUGUAAACUCUGAUCGAUAUUGUGUGAUGCUAGAGACUUUUCUGAAACCAAAAUUGAAUGAACUUGACAAUAGGGACAAUGUUUGCUUUUAACAGCCCACACUUCUUGACAUACUAUGGGGAUUUUUGUUGUGCAUGGGAACUGAAAAGAGGUUCACCUACCUUCCUCUCAUGGAUGCCUGUCUAGCAGUAAUCUCUCCGACAAUCCUGCCCUACCCCUGUCACUCAGUAUAAGCAGCUGCUAUCUGACCAACCUGGGCGCAAAUUCCCUAACGUCCAUUCAUGAUACCUCUGGCAGGCAAAAAGAGACCGAUGCUCACCUCUCUUCCCCCACUUCUCCUCUUGUGCUUCCUCUUCCAGUCAGCCCCUUGACCAUUGAUGUCAUGACCCUCUUCUGGCUCAUCCCCACAAUUUUAAGGGAGAUGUUCCCUGGUCAUUUGAUCUCAUUGCACAUUGACAUCAGUUGGCUCACCUGAUCACCUGAUUUGAACCUGUGUGACAUUUUUCAGUGAGGAUACCUGAAAUCAAAGGUAUACACUCAUUGCCCUCGAUCUUUUGAGCAAUUAAAAGAUGCCAUUCGUCAAGAAACUGGUGCCAUUCCACAUGAAAUGGACCCAUCAAGUUAUUGACAACUUUUGUGAAUGCCUUCAACAAUGAUAUAAUUUUUAAAACCAAAUGAAACAAAAUGGCAUUAGAUGUACAUUUAAAAAAUAAAAACAUGUUUUUCGUU